UUUUAAUUGGAAACUCGUAUGAAGGGUUGGACAAAGGAUAAUCUGUUUUUAUUUUUAUUUUUGAAUUUAUCUUUUAAGUGAAAAGACUUGAAUAUAUUUAAGGGACGAUAAGACCCUAUAAAUCUUUAUAUUUAACUUAAUGUUUAUAUUGAUUUUUAAUGUAAAUAUAAAAUAAAGAUUAACAAUGUUAUGUUGGGGUGACAAGAAUAAAAAAUAAACUGUUCUAAAAAUAAACAAAGUUAUUUGAUUAAUAGUAGAUCCUUUUUAAAGAUAAAAGUUUAAGUUACUUUAGGGAUAACAGCGUUAUUUCUUUUGAGAGUUCAAAUCGAAAAAGAAGUUUGCGACCUCGAUGUUGAAUUAAAAUUUCUUUAUAGUGCAACAGUUAUACAAGAAAGUCUGUUCGACUUUUAAAAUUUUACGUGAUCU
rnacentral:rRNA from 1 species